UGGUAGGUGGCCUGGUCAAUAGGCAACUUUAUCCAUGUGAUCAAUAUGAUAUUGGUUCUCUCUUUUCCCUGUUGUCUAGAACUGGCUAAGCCAUUGAUUCUUGUUACUGCCUCAUUCAUUGUCUGUACAUUCAUAUAUCUAUCUCUAACCUACUGGCUAAGCUAAUGAUAGUUGCACUUUUAUUUUUGUAACAAUGGUUCACAUUUUGUGUUCAAUCAAUGUAUGAUUGGUUAGAUGUGUGUAUACAAGAGUUUUAUGGUCCAUAUUAACUGAUGGAAGCAGAGUGUUAUACAUGGCUGUCAUUCUUGUUGUCUUUUCUUUCUAUAAUCUAAAUUUAGUGAUUAUUUUUACUAUGGUUUUCUUAGGAAAAGUGAAUUCCUGCCUUCUUCUCCUUUAAUCAAUUUUCUCCCUAAAUCUUGUUUCUUUGGCAGAACGAUGAUGUAACUGCUGCAAUUCAAAAGGUUGCCGCUGCUUAUGAUUGCAAAAUUGUUGAAGGUGUUCUUUGCCAUCAACUGAAGCAGUUUGUGAUAGAUGGUAGCAAGGUUGUAUAGAGUGUAUCUGGUCCCGAAACAAGAGUUGAAGUUGCGGAAUUUGAGGAGAAUGAAGUUUAUGCUGUUGAUAUUGUAACAAGCACAGGUGAGGGCAAGGUAAUUAUGGAGUCAAUAUUAACUUAAUAUGCCAUUUCUGCGCACUGUUCUAUUGAGUCCUCAAAUUCGUUUUUAUGGGAUUUUCAGCCUAAGCUGUUGGAUGAGAAACAGACGACUAUUUAUAAGAGAGCCGUUGACAGGAACUAUAACUUGAAGAUGAAAGCAUCUAGGUUUAUUUUCAGUGAAAUAAAUCAGAAAUUUUCUAUCAUACCAUUCACAGCUAGGACUCUUGGAGGCGAAGAGGGGUCGGCUGGGUUUUGUGGAAUGUGUUCUUCAUAAGAAGCCCGGUGAUUAUGUUGCUCAAAUAAAAUUCACAAUUUUGCUAAUGCCAAAUGGUUCAGAUAUAGUCACAUCUCAUCCACUGCAGGAGCUGCUGCGCAAAAAGACGAUAAAUCAUCCUGAAAUCAAGGCCUGGUUUAUGUAAUGGAAUUGGUAGUGGAAUGAAGAAGACAAAGAAUAAAGGUGCUGGAAAGAAGGAGAAAGGUAAAAGAAGUGACAAAGCUGAGUCGUCAACAGAAUCUGAGCCUAUGGAUGCAACAACAAACGGUGCAGUGCUGCUUCUCAUCCCAAGAUUGAGUCUUUUUUUUUUUUUUUUUUUUUCUCUUGCUUUUUUCAACCCCCUAGUGAAUUUUGGCACUUUUUCAACCUUGGUACUCCUAUCCUAUGAUAGCAGUAGUGUAAUUAAAAUUGAUUCCAGUUCCAACCGUAAAUCAUCAAACUUGUUAGGGCAUUGGCUUUCACUUGCUCUUAUUGGAUGUGUACCUUUAGCGGUAGCACCAUCUAUACAUGGCCUUGUAAAGUAAAAUUCCAUUAAAAAUGGUGAAUUUUCAGUGU